rnacentral:ncRNA from 1 species
UCUAUCGAUAAAAUUUCUAAACGAAAUUUUCACAAAAUCAUGCAAUCAUGCCAUAGACCUUAAAAUGAUAAUAAAAUAAAUUUUUCUACCUCGGAUUUUUGGUUUCGCAACCACUGUUCCGUUUAGGCCCUAUUUCGGGAUGUUACAGACAUGGGUGGUUCACUGCCCACGACGUUGCGAGAAGUCUACUAAACCUUGUGAUUUAGAGGAAGGAGAAGUUGUAACAAGUUUUCCAUAAGUGAACUUGUGGAAGGAUCAUUG